rnacentral:rRNA from 1 species
UACGGAGGGUGCAAACGUUGCUCGGAAUCAUUGGGCGUAAAGCGUGUGUAGGUGGUGUGUUAAGUCGGGUGUGAAAGCCCUGGGCUCAACCCAGGAAGUGCACUCGAAACUGGCGCACUUGAGUACGGGAGAGGGUCGCGGAAUUCCCGGUGUAGAGGUGAAAUUCGUAGAUAUCGGGAGGAACACCAGUGGCGAAAGCGGCUACCUGGCCCAUUCUUGACGCUGAGGCGCGAAAGCUAGGGGAGCAAACGGG